AGAGUUUGAUCAUGGCUCAGAAUCAACGCUGGCGGCGUGCCUCAGACAUGCAAGUCGGACGAUUAAACUUUCCUUCGGGAAAGAUAUAAAGUGGCGUACGGGUGAGUAACACGUAAGUAAUCUACCUUUGAGUGGGGAAUAACUUAAGGAAACUUAAGCUAAUACCGCAUAAUGCAGCGGCAUCAUAUGAUGACAGUUGUUAAAGAAUUUAUUCGCUUAAAGAGGAGCUUGCGGCAGAUUAGCUAGUUGGUAAGGUAAUGGCUUACCAAGGCAACGAUCUGUAGCCGACCUGAGAGGGUGGUCGGUCACACUGACACUGAAUAACGGGUCAGACUCCUACGGGAGGCAGCAGUCGGGAAUUUUGUGCAAUGGGGGAAACCCUGACACAGCAACGCCGCGUGAAGGAUGAAGUCUUUCGGGAUGUAAACUUCGGAAAUAUAGGAAGAAUAAAUGACGGUACUAUAUCUAAGGUCCGGCUAACUACGUGCCAGCAGCCGCGGUAAUACGUAGGGACCAAGCGUUGUUCGGAUUUACUGGGCGUAAAGGGUGCGUAGGCGGCGUGAUAAGUCACUUGUGAAAUCUCCGAGCUUAACUCGGAACUGCCAAGUGAUACUAUUGUGCUAGAGUACAGAAAGGGUAACUGGAAUUCUUGGUGUAGCGGUGAAAUGCGUAGAUAUCAAGAGGAACACCUUGAGGCGAAGGCGAGUUACUAGGCUGAUACUGACGCUGAAGUACGAAAGCUAGGGGA
rnacentral:rRNA from 1 species